CCUACGGGAGGCAGCAGUGGGGAAUAUUGCGCAAUGGGCGAAAGUCUGACGCAGCGAAGUCGCGUGAGGGAUGAAGGUCUUCGGAUCGUAAAACUCUGUCAGCAGGGGAGUAAGAUCACUGUGCUAUUCAGCAGUGCAUUGACGGUACCUGCAAAGAUAGCACCGGCUAACUCCGUGACAGCAGGCGCGGUAAUACGGAGGGUGCGAGCGUUAAUCGGAAUUACUGGGCGUAAGGCGCUCGUAGACGGUAUGUCAAGUCAAGGGUGAAAGCCCCGCGCUCAACGUGGGAACUGCAUUUGAAACUGGCAAACUUGAGUGCGUGAGAGGAUAGUGGAAUUCGAGGUGUAGGAGUGAAAUCCGUAGAUAUCUGGAAGAACAUCAAUGGCGAAGGCAACUAUCUGGCACAUGACUGACGCUGAGGAGCGAAAGCGUGGGUAGCAAACAGGAUUAGAUACCCGAGUAGUC
rnacentral:rRNA from 1 species